UCCAAAACAACGACAAAGCGUCAUCAGUAGCAGUAGCAGCAGCCCAGCUCCUGAUGGGUGAUUCCGUGCUCGUCUCGGUCUCAGUUCUGCAGAUUUUUUGUUUUUUUCGCAUCCUGCUGUGUGUCGAAGAAGACUAGAAAACAAGACGCGAGUACUGGAUGAGGUGAAUGACGACGAUGUGUUCGCGGCCGUCAGACAUCGGGAAGAUACCGUCGCGAUCGGACAAGUGAAUUUCUUUCUCCAUACAGCAGAAACCCAGCUAAUUACCCACAGAAGCAACGAAUCGAGUGUUUAUUGUAGUGGACAAGUGGAGUUCAGUGCUUAAUAUGUUUAGUACUGUUUUUGUACGAUGAGAGUGGAAUUCAGUGUCCUUACCAGUUCUGAUAUAUAAUCACGGAAGUGUAAGAAAUAACGCCAACGAAAAUACGAAAAUAAUUUAUCCAGAAAACUAACAAAAAGCAUGAGUGAAAUGUCUUGCAAGGGCAGUCCAACAUCGAGCGCUAGCGCUCGGAUAAGUUUGGUAACAGACGAGAGCCAUUUCAGCUUGGCCAGCCUGAAUUCUUCCGUCAGUCAGGAUGAGUUCUUCCGCUGCAGGGAACAUUCUGAUCUAGUGCUCAAGCGGAUGCAAGAAUACCUACAGAACGAGAAGCUGUGCGACGUGGUCUUGAUCGCAGGAUUAGACGGCAAGCGCGUACCAGCCCAUCGCUUAGUGCUGUCAGCAUCGUCAGCAUACUUCAGUGCAAUGUUCACCGGACAUCUGAGGGAAAGUCAACAGGAAGAAAUAACCCUCCAGGAAGUAUCCGGUGAGGCGCUGCAACUGCUUAUCCAGUACUGCUACACAGGAACCAUUGAACUACGUGAAGACACGGUAGAAACGCUGCUCGCAACCGCCUGCCUGCUUCAGCUCAGCACAAUCGUCAACGCGUGCUGCACGUUCUUAGCUCGUCAGCUACAUCCGUCCAACUGUUUAGGGUUCUCGUUAUUUGCCGAACAGCAGGGAUGCACCGCGCUGCUCAAAAUCGCGUCCGCCUAUACCUGCCAGCAUUUCAUGCAGGUUUGGAAGAAUCAGGAAUUUUUCCAACUGGAUUCAGUGCAACUGUCAACACUGCUGAAAAGCGAUGACCUGAAUGUUCCUAACGAGCAGGAAGUAUUCCACGCACUAAUGGCCUGGAUACAGUUCGAAUCGGAAACACGAAAACAGUACAUACCAGAGCUGUUGGCUUUGAUACGUUUGCCACUGUUGCAGCCAUCGUUCAUAGUGGAUCACGUAGAAGCUCUGUGCGGUGCUAAUGAGUGUCAACAAUUGGUGAUGGAGGCGUUCAAAUGGCAUCUCAUUCCCGGAAGGAGGUCACAAAUUUCAACACAAAGAACCAGACCACGAAAGUCGACAAUAGGCAAACUGUUGGCUGUAGGUGGAAUGGAUGGACACAAAGGAGCUAUUAGCAUAGAGAGCUACGAACCGCGCUUGGACAAGUGGACUUUGUUGAAAAAUAUGCCUGCCAGACGACUCCAGUUCGGCGUUGCCGUUAUGGACGAUAAAUUGAUAAUUGUAGGCGGAAGAGAUGGUUUGAAGACGUUGAACACCGUGGAGUGUUUUGAUUUGACAACGAUGACCUGGGGCUCAAUCGUACCACCGAUGGGUACGCCUAGACACGGUCUAGGAGUUGCAUUUUUAGAAGGACCACUAUACGCGGUUGGAGGUCAUGAUGGGUGGAGUUAUCUAGCGACGGUUGAACGUUGGGAUCCUGCCGCCCGUACAUGGAGCUACGUAGCGCCAAUGUCUUCAAUGAGAUCGACUGCUGGUGUUGCGGUAUUAAAUUCAAGGUUGUUCGUUAUUGGUGGUAGAGAUGGAAGCGUGUGCCAUCGAACGGUUGAGUGCUACGAUCCUCAUACGAAUAAAUGGACAUUGCGUGCACCAAUGAACAAGCGCAGAGGUGGAGUGGGGGUUGGCGUACUGAAUGGAUACCUGUACGCUUUGGGAGGUCACGAUUGUCCUGCCAGUAAUCCAGCCGUUUGUAGAACCGAAACAGUGGAACGGUAUGAUCCCACGACAGAUACCUGGACCUUGAUCGCUUCGAUCAGUGUUGGGCGGGAUGCCAUCGGUGUAAGCGUUCUUGGCGAUUGGCUGAUUGCCGUCGGUGGAUACGAUGGCAAUCAGUAUUUGAAGACAGUCGAACAGUAUGAUACGGAAAGUAACGAAUGGCAACAGAUCGCCGCUGUCAAUUAUAGUCGGGCUGGUGCCUGCGUAGUGGCUAUCCCAAACAACUUUUCUUCCCCCGGUGGAGUCGCAACUGUAGGCCCUUCUGCGGCUUCGAUAGCGGGUGCAUUAGUGUCAUCUUCCUCCUCGACGAAUACUACAGUUUAGUACAAGAGUUCUGCUACAGCACUGAUUUCUAGUGAUGCUUCUUCAUUCCUAAGAACGUCUAUCAUCAAUCGGACGUUCCAAAUAAUACAGCAUCUCGCGUGUUCGUGUGUUUACUACUCCCCAUUUUACUGCUAAGUAAUAAUAGAGGAGCAGGUUCCUCUCGUAGCGGUAACUAUUAUUAUAGACGACAAUUUAGGAUUUUUGAUUAUUACGUUUAAACACAAGGCUGCCCAUCCAAGUGAAGAUAUGUGUAUACACAAUUUUGUACUGAUGAAGCGAUGAUAGAUAAGCACAGAAUCCAUAUCGAAUCCUACACACAUUGCAAUGAAGACGAUUUUUCUCCUGUGAUGAUUUAUAUUUUACUUUAUUAUACAAUAUAGUUUUUUUUACGUAAAUAUAUCGAUAAGUAAAUUUUUCCCAGUGAACCGCGAGCCUAGCGAGCCAACUCUUCAAUGCGGAUUCCACCCGGUUUUGUUGGUUCUCCUUGAGUUUAGUUGUCAAAUUUGAUUAUGUGAUUGAUGGUCAUACGCCGAUGCCCAAAGAUACGUAGCCAAAAUAUUAAAAAAAAAUACGGGGAAAUGUGAAACCAUAAUUCCUUUUACCGGUGGAAUGUCGUUGCGAGGUAUGCAGUAUCAAAAACGCAUCAAAGCUAUUUUUAAACACCCAAUAGAUAUGUGUUUGUCACAUUUGGGGACUGUUAUUAUACAUUGAAAGUCUAAUUCACUAUUUCGUCAAAAAAAUACUUAUAUAUUAUUUGAAUAACAUUCCAAAUUUGAACUAUAUACUCAUUUGAAAAACUUUUUCAUACCGAUAGGCCAGACGCAAGUCGCCACACCCUCGCGAGAUCUCAACAAUUCGACAUACUAUUUUUCAGGCAAUCAAAUGUUCAAAUACAAAGUUCUUAAAUUUGCAGAGAUUUGAAUAAUCAAAACAUAAUUCGCAUAGACAAACAUUCAAAAAGUUUCCAGCGUUCUAUUGCUAGCACACAAAGGACUGUAAACUAUAAUCUUUAGUUUGAAAUUAUUCUGAUUUUUUUUUGCGCUUCGGCCACUUGUUUAAUCAACAAAUUUUAGGCGAAUAGGUUUUGGAUCGGUAGAAUAUACAUGCGGAUGUUCUAUUUAAGCUCUUAAAAUCUCGUGAUAGCCACGGAAAGUUUCUUCAUUUAUCUAUAAAAAUAGCUUUUUUGCAUAUGAAAAAUACUGUAAGUGUACUUUAUCUGUGAUCGGCUAAAUCAAUAUAAAAUACGAUAAAUUAACUUCAAAGCUGCAGAAAAAUUAGUUUACUUCAGUUUUGAUUUUCUUUCAAUAUAUAUACCCAAGCGUGGCUGAUAGUUUAAGUAGGUAUUAUGUGAGCGUAAAUUUGGCACUAAUUCUUUUCUAGGACAACUGAAGGCUUUGGUGUGUGAUAGAUCUUUUAGUUUUGAAUUUUGACAUAGAGACAGUGAACGAACAGUUAAGAAGCUUGUAGAGUAGGGAGCAAUACGAAAAACGAGUGUAGAUAAUUGCGUACGCUUGUAGACAGUGGAUCCGAUUGAGAUGACAAUGGAUAACAAAAUUGUACAAAAAGUCGAAAAUUCGAUACCGGGCUACAGCACAAGUGAAAAUGGUACUAAUUUUGAUACUAUUUAUACUUAGCACUAUAACACUGACGAUCAAUUAAUAAAACAUAUUUUAGUAUGAAACGAA